AGCAUAUUAAUAAGCGGAGGAAAAGAAACUAACAAGGAUUCCCUCAGUAACGGCGAGUGAAGCGGGAAGAGCUCAAAUUUGAAAUCUCCGAUGCUUGCAUCGGCGAGUUGUAGUUGCGAGAAGCACUUUCUAGGUGGAUCGCCGGUGCCUAAGUUGCUUGGAACAGCACGUCGCAGAGGGUGACAACCCCGUCUGUGGCGCCGGCGGCCGCUGACGAUGUGCUUUCGAAGAGUCGGGUUGUUUGGGAAUGCAGCCCAAAAUGGGUGGUAAACUCCAUCUAAAGCUAAAUACUGGCGUGAGACCGAUAGCGAACAAGUACCGUGAGGGAAAGAUGAAAAGAACUUUGAAAAGAGAGUUAAAAAGUACGUGAAACCGUCGGAAGGGAAACGAAUGGACUCAGCAAUGCGCCCUCUGAGAUUCAGCCGGUGGGUGGCGUCGGCGCUGGGUUUGCGGAUCUGAAUGGACCGCGGCCCGGCGCUCGGUGUCCCCCGCCGUCGCACUUCUCUGGGGCGCGCGUCAACGUGGGUUGGGACUGGGUCUGAAAGGUGCCGGGAAGGUAGGUGUGGGCCUUCGGGUCCGUUCUGUUACAGCCCGGCUCUCUCAUGGCUCGGGCCCGACCGAGGAGUGAGACAGGGCAUGCCUCCUGUGGCUAGGGUCCCGUCCUUCCGGCCGGCUGUCCAGUGUGGUGGACUGCUUGCAGUGCUCCGCGACGGCUGCCGGUCGUUGGGGUGGUGAUCUCGUACCAUGCCCUUAGGAUGUUGGCGG
rnacentral:rRNA from 1 species